GCUGGGUGUUGUGGCGGGCACCUGCAAUCCCAGCUACUUGGGAGGCUGAGGCAGGAGAAUCGCUUGAACUCGGGAGGCAGAGGUUGCAGUGAGCUGAGAUCACAUCACUGCACUCUAGCCUGGGUGACAGAGCAAGACUCUGUCUCAA
rnacentral:SRP_RNA from 2 species